rnacentral:rRNA from 1 species
UACAGAGGUCCCAAGCGUUGUUCGGAUUCACUGGGCGUAAAGGGUGCGUAGGUGGCGAGGUAAGUCGGAUAUGAAAGCUCGGAGCUCAACUCCGAAAUGGCAUUGGAAACUACCUUGCUCGAGGGUCGGAGGGGGGACUGGAAUACUUGGUGUAGCAGUGAAAUGCGUAGAUAUCAAGUGGAACACCAGUGGCGAAGGCGAGUCCCUGGACGACUCCUGACACUGAGGCACGAAAGCUAGGGGAGCAAACAGG